rnacentral:rRNA from 1 species
CACGUAGGGUGCGAGCGUUGUCCGGAAUUAUUGGGCGUAAAGAGCUCGUAGGCGGUGUGUCGCGUCGGCCGUGAAAACCUGCAGCUUAACUGUGGGCUUGCGGUCGAUACGGGCAUCACUGGAGUUCGGCAGGGGAGACUGGAAUUCCUGGUGUAGCGGUGAAAAUGCGUAGAUAUCAAGAAAGGAACACCCCAUGGCGAAGGCAGCUCGCUGGCCUACAACUGACGCUGAGGC